rnacentral:rRNA from 1 species
UAGGGAAUAUUGGACAAUGGGCGAAAGCCUGAUCCAGCCAUGCCGCGUGGAUGAAGAAGGCCCUAGGGUUGUAAAGUCCUUUCGGCGGUGAAGAUAAUGACGGUAACCGCAGAAGAAGCCCCGGCUAAUUUCGUGCCAGCAGCCGCGGUAAUACGAAAGGGGCUAGCGUUGUUCGGAAUUACUGGGCGUAAAGCGCGCGUAGGCGGCCAUGCAAGUUGGGGGUGAAAUCCCGGGGCUCAACUCCGGAACUGCCUCCAAAACUGCAUAGCUAGAGGAUGCGAGAGGAUAGUGGAAUUCCGAGUGUAGAGGUGAAAUUCGUAGAUAUUCGGAAGAACACCAGUGGCGAAGGCGACUGUCUGGCGCAUUUCUGACGCUGAGGCGCGAAAGCGUGGGGAGCAAACAGGAUUAGAUACCCCCGUAGUCC